GAGACAGCAGCCGCCGCGGGAAUACGUAGGUGGCAAGCGUUGUCCGGAAUUAUUGGGCGUAAAGGGCUCGCAGGCGGUUUCUUAAGUCUGAUGUGAAAGCCCCCGGCUCAACCGGGGAGAGUCAUUGUAAACCGGGAAACUUGAGUGCAGAAGAGGAGAGUGGAAUUCUACGUGUAGCGGUGAAAUGCGUAGAGAUGUGGAGGAACACCAGUGGCGAAGGCGACUCUCUGGUCUGUAACUGGCGCUGAGGAGCGAAAGCGUGGGGAGCAAACAGGAUUAGAUACCCUAGUAGUCCCUGUCUCUUAUAC
rnacentral:rRNA from 1 species